AUUGAACGCUGGCGGCAGGCUUAACACAUGCAAGUCGAGCGGUAGCACAAGAGAGCUUGCUCUCUGGGUGACGAGCGGCGGACGGGUGAGUAAUGUCUGGGAAACUGCCUGAUGGAGGGGGAUAACUACUGGAAACGGUAGCUAAUACCGCAUAACGUCGCAAGACCAAAGAGGGGGACCUUCGGGCCUCUUGCCAUCAGAUGUGCCCAGAUGGGAUUAGCUAGUAGGUGGGGUAAUGGCUCACCUAGGCGACGAUCCCUAGCUGGUCUGAGAGGAUGACCAGCCACACUGGAACUGAGACACGGUCCAGACUCCUACGGGAGGCAGCAGUGGGGAAUAUUGCACAAUGGGCGCAAGCCUGAUGCAGCCAUGCCGCGUGUGUGAAGAAGGCCUUCGGGUUGUAAAGCACUUUCAGCGAGGAAGAAGGUGGUGAACUUAAUACGUUCAUCAAUUGACGUUACUCGCAGAAGAAGCACCGGCUAACUCCGUGCCAGCAGCCGCGGUAAUACGGAAGGUGCAAGCGUUAAUCGGAAUUACUGGGCGUAAGCGCACGCAGGCGGUUUGUUAAGUCAGAUGUGAAAUCCCCGGGCUCAACCUGGGAACUGCAUUUGAAACUGGCAAGCUAGAGUCUCGUAGAGGGGGGUAGAAUUCCAGGUGUAGCGGUGAAAUGCGUAGAGAUCUGGAGGAAUACCGGUGGCGAAGGCGGCCCCCUGGACGAAGACUGACGCUCAGGUGCGAAAGCGUGGGGAGCAAACAGGAUUAGAUACCCUGGUAGUCCACGCUGUAAACGAUGUCGAUUUGGAGGUUGUGCCCUUGAGGCGUGGCUUCCGGAGCUAACGCGUUAAAUCGACCGCCUGGGGAGUACGGCCGCAAGGUUAAAACUCAAAUGAAUUGACGGGGGCCCGCACAAGCGGUGGAGCAUGUGGUUUAAUUCGAUGCAACGCGAAGAACCUUACCUACUCUUGACAUCCAGAGAACUUUCCAGAGAUGGAUUGGUGCCUUCGGGAACUCUGAGACAGGUGCUGCAUGGCUGUCGUCAGCUCGUGUUGUGAAAUGUUGGGUUAAGUCCCGCAACGAGCGCAACCCUUAUCCUUUGUUGCCAGCGGUUCGGCCGGGAACUCAAAGGAGACUGCCAGUGAUAAACUGGAGGAAGGUGGGGAUGACGUCAAGUCAUCAUGGCCCUUACGAGUAGGGCUACACACGUGCUACAAUGGCAUAUACAAAGAGAAGCGACCUCGCGAGAGCAAGCGGACCUCAUAAAGUAUGUCGUAGUCCGGAUUGGAGUCUGCAACUCGACUCCAUGAAGUCGGAAUCGCUAGUAAUCGUAGAUCAGAAUGCUACGGUGAAUACGUUCCCGGGCCU
rnacentral:rRNA from 1 species